rnacentral:lncRNA from 1 species
UCAACUAAUAAUCCUACAUAUAUAUGUGUGCAUAUUUUUCAAAACUUUAAAUAGUUAUACAAUGAACCUUAUAUUCUUGCUUGGGUUUUCCACAAAAUGCUCGAAUUUAGCACAAGAACACUUCUGUUAUAAAGUCACACUCAUCUUCACAUUCACUACACAGAUCUCAAACCGCAGAACGCAAUUCACAGGUACUGCUUCACACCCUAUCAGUAAAAAAAACGCCAGAUCCACAAAUGAAUUUCAUUAAUCUUCACUCAGGAGAAGAUAUACAACAAAUGUUUAGUCUAUGAAAAUAAAACACCUUUUAUUGGAAUGCAAAAUAUCUUAUUUUCUCACUUAAUUCUUGCUCAUUCUCUCAAUUUAUGUGGCAGUCAUAUUAAGCACAGCUAUGUGGCACAUCUAGCAUUAUUCUAAAAACACUUGAAAUAUUCAAUAAUUCCUUAAAAUAAUUUAACUAAAUGAACUAAACAGAGCUUGUUUUUUUUUUUUUACGCAGAAAGAAGUCAUGGGUGAGUGGCCGGUCAGAUCACGUCUGCAUUUAAUCCUCACACUCAACAUUUUCAGAUGACAUUUAGAUGUCCCCAUGUUAAAGAGAUGACAUUAUUUGCCCCAAUGAUGUUAUAAAUAUGUAUAUGCUGCUGUCAGCUUCUGGCUCCAGCAUGAUAUUUCGCAUUCUGUUCCAGGGUCGUCCAGUUUCACUGGAGAGUUCAUGAUUGAGGGUAAUUCUUCUAUAAGUGUAAACCUAACAGAGUUGAGGAACCUAGAUUUACAAUACCAAGGCACGUCAAUCGGAACCAUUCAAGAGGCUGUGUUAGUGGCAGAUUGUCGGACUAUUGGAGAUGAGACAACAUGCUUGUGCGGGUCUGAGCAUAUUUGGAGUAACACUGUGUGUGAUGAUCACUCAAUCUGCUGCAACAAACCAGAGUGUGUGGCAAACAUUUCUCACUACACACCUCUGUGUAUUCCCAAAGUGUCAAUUCAACUGGUGGGAGCUAUGUCAAACCAGGGAAAUACACAGUGGAAUGCAGCUUCCUUAAAUAACACAGUAUGUACCCAGUUCCUAUAUAUAUAUAUAUGUGUGUGUGUGUGUUUUGUCACACUAAUUCUUUGUUUUAAUUUGGGACAAUGA